UACAUGGGGUGCAAACGUUGCUCGGAAUUAUUGGGCGUAAAGCGCACGUAGGCGGUUCGUUAAGUCGGAUGUGAAAGCCCUCGGCUCAACUGAGGAAGUGCACCCGAAACUGGCGAGCUUGAGUACGAAAGAGGAUCGCGGAAUUCCCGGUGUAGAGGUGAAAUUCGUAGAUAUCGGGAGGAACACCGGUGGCGAAGGCGGCGAUCUGGGUCGAUACUGACGCUGAGGUGCGAAAGCCAGGGGAGCCAAACGGG
rnacentral:rRNA from 1 species